GACGCUGGCCCCGGAGUUGGGCCGUAGCCACGAAGUGAUCCGGGCGCUGACGGCCCGUGGCAUCUGCGUGUCCCUAGGUGAGGGGCCGGCUCGGGGUGGGCCUGCUUGGGGGACGUGGGCCAGGUGCAAAGUCUGAAUCCAGGUCCCGCAGGGCACUCAGUGGCUGACCUGCGGGCGGCAGAGGAUGCUGUGUGGAGCGGAGCCACCUUCAUCACCCACCUCUUCAACGCCAUGCUGCCUUUCCACCACCGCGACCCAGGCAUCGUGGGGCUCCUGACCAGCGACCGGCUGCCCGCAGGCCGCUGCAUCUUCUAUGGGAUGAUUGCGGAUGGCACGCACACCAACCCCGCCGCCCUGCGGAUCGCCCACCGUGCCCAUCCCCAGGGUAAGCUGCGGCAGGUGGGCAGGACAGGUAGGAUGACUGGGCUAGCAGGUUCUGAGUCUCUUCUCCCCCAGGGCUGGUGCUGGUCACCGAUGCCAUCCCUGCCUUGGGCCUGGGCAACGGCCGGCACACGCUGGGACAGCAGGAAGUGGAAGUGGAUGGUCUGACGGCCUACGUGGCAGGUGAGCGCCCUGACCCACUGGGUCCCAGGUCCCAGCCCGCAUGCCAGGUGGCCCACGACCCCCCCAGAGCCUGCCCUCUCUGCUCUCAAGGCACCAAGACGCUGAGUGGCAGCAUAGCCCCAAUGGACGUCUGUGUCCGGCACUUCCUGCAGGCCACAGGUCAGUGAGCAGCACGGGUGCGGGUUUAGGUGGUCUGUGAGUGGCGGGUCCCCAGGGGCUGGACCGGGUGCCCGGACUGUAGCCCAAGCUCUGCCCACAGGAGCUCCUGGGCAUUGGGUACU
rnacentral:sRNA from 1 species